rfam:Ashbya gossypii ATCC 10895 chromosome II, complete sequence.
UUUCUAAUGAUUAUAUCGCUAUUUCUCACUGAGGAAGUACAUGCAGGACAAAUUGUUAAUUAGGAAUUCUUCGUUUAUGAUCGGAGA